UACGGAGGGAGCUAGCGUUGUUCGGAAUUACUGGGCGUAAAGCGCACGUAGGCGGCUUUGUAAGUUAGAGGUGAAAGCCCGGGGCUCAACUCCGGAACUGCCUUUAAGACUGCAUCGCUUGAAUCCAGGAGAGGUGAGUGGAAUUCCGAGUGUAGAGGUGAAAUUCGUAGAUAUUCGGAAGAACACCAGUGGCGAAGGCGACUCACUGGACUGGUAUUGACGCUGAGGUGCGAAAGCGUGGGGAGCAAACAGG
rnacentral:rRNA from 1 species